GCAUAGUCUUGGGUGGAUGCAUUAUUUCUAUCUUUAAUGGUGUCUCCAAGACCCAUUGCAUCGAAAUGGAUUUCAGCAUCCAACACCCAUGUCAUAUUGUUCUUGCCCGAAAUUUCAAAGGCAACGAACUUUCUUUUCAUAAUGUCAGAGAUAAGAUACAAUUACAUCAAGAGCGUGUUCAUACUUACAGGCUUUAUUACAAUUAUUACAUUCACUUCAGGGAAUGGAUCAUAAUGACGAUUAUAAUUUCGUCUAUUGCCACGUCCACAUUCAUUGAUACCAUCAUGGUAAUAAUUUUGUCUUCUUUCAGACUUAUCACAUANN
rnacentral:lncRNA from 1 species